AGGAGCAGAGGACGUCUUGACUAUUGAUCGUUGUUGUUUCUCUGCGAAAAAGGUUUGAAUCUCCUUUUUUCACUCUCUGCUUUCUUUAUUCUUGGCCAUUGAAACAAUUUGUUUUCGAAUAUGGAAUUAAGCACAAUAAUAGCACAACACCACCAGUCAGUCGCCCCCCUCCCCCCUCAGUCUAUCGAACAUCUGAACUGUGUGCCUUGUUUCUUUCUGAUUUAACAAUGGAGGAGACCGACGCUUCUACUCCCGGCGAGAAAACCAUAAGCAGAAGGUUAGUCUCUCUCUCAUUUCUUCUUACUGAAAAUUUUGUUUUCUAUUUUUUUUCAGUGAUGGAUUGAUUGUGGCUUUUGGGUAUGUUGCUACUCUUGUACACUACAAGAUUUCACAGUUUUACCGACGGACAUAUUCCGUCGGUGUGUGACAGAACGUUCGUCGGUAAAUUAUUUACCGACUAUAUUACCGACGGAAUACUUCCGUCGGAAUACCUUUUGUCGGUGAUUCCACAUUCCUUUGCUAUAUCCGUCGGUAAUAAAAAAAACACAUUUACCGACGGUUUUACCGACGGCCGGUGCGCGCCAAAAAAAAAAGUUUCCCGCUUGGAAUAUACCGACGGAAUGUAUUCCGUCGGUGUUAUGUAAAUACCGAUGGAGGUUACUCCGUCGGCAAAAGUGUCGGUGAUAUUUCAUACCGACCGAAUAAAUCCGUCUGUAAAUUCGUCGGUAUUUGUAUACCGACGGAUUAUGUCCGUCGGUGAGUAUGUCGGUGAUGGGAUGGCAUACCUCAGACACUGUCCAAUGCCGACGGAUUUAUUCCGUCGGUAAAUCCCUGUGUAAUUUUUUUUUUUUUAAUUAUUUAGAAAAAAUAAUAUAAAUUAAUAGUAAUACAAACCAAUUAUGCAAAUAAAAUUUAUAUUAAGCAACAAAAACUCAAAGUUAAAUAAUAUUCAUUACAAAAUGAAUGUUUUAAAAAAAACAAUUAAUAUAAAGGUGGAGGAGGAGAGGAGGAGGAGGGUGGGGGUUAGGCGGCCAAAAAGGAUUAGGCGCACAUGUUCCCUUGUGUCAUGUUCAUGACCAUUUGACGAAGCUCUUCAUAGGCCGCUCUUUGUUGUUCAGACUCUGCUCUGCGUUGUUCGUCCGCCAAUCUGUGUUGUUCGUUCGCCAAUCUUUGCUCUUCUUUGAGUUGUGUGUACGCCUCUGAUAGGUGGUCGCACCUUUGCUGCAAGGCCACAAACUCCUUAGAUUGGGAGCUCGAUACAGAUUGGGAGCUCCCACCGGUUGAAGCAGUACCGGUCGACCGCAACUUGGCGCGGUAGUGUUGGAGAGCCCGUAAACCCGAUUUUUAUCGGGUCCACCUGACGAUCCAGCCUCCAUCCACAAAUCCGGAUCGAAUUCCGGAUGGGUCGAAGGAUCAUCCCCGUAUCUCUCCCUCAACCGAUUAUUAUAGGUCUCCUGAAAAAAAAAAUCAUAUUCAAUUCAAUAAACAUAAUAAUAACUUACAAAAUAAAAUGGUUAAACAAACACACCACAAACUGUUGAGCACGGUUGUCAACGAACUGUUGCGUCCCCUUUUGGCGGUCAUGACUCCGCACGUGCGUCUCCACAAACAGCUCCAUAGGGCUCGGCUCACGUCCAAGAGACGUAGCCUAUAUAUAAUGAAAAAAAUGUAUUAACAACAAAUUAAUUGAACGAUAUAUUUCAUUUAAAUUAAUCUUACCAUCCGUUUCGCAUGUGCAGCAAACGGAACGGAGCCGCCGGUGUGCGUUGUAACCGAGCCAUGAAUUUGCCGAUUCCGGUUGCCGGCACCGGACUGUGAGCGUCGAGUGAACCGCUCAGACGUCACGUGCUGAAGAUAGUGCGGCCAUAUAUCUUCCGGGAUGUAUAUUGGUUUGAAAUCCCUCCAAACCGCAACAUCGUUCCAGCCUGAUCUGACUUGAUGGUGAACACCUGUGCCACAGCCGAUAAUUUACUGUGGUUUGUGCAGCCAUCCCAUAAUGGUUCGUCAGAAUCUUUCAACAAAUCAAAAAACCUAGCUGCCUCUGCAUUAGGUUCUUCUUCUACGAUUGGACAUUGAUUGACAUUAUCUUGAUUCAUUCUCAUUGCAUCCAUAACCAUGUUUCUGUAAGGAUUAGUGUUGUCAUUUGCCGCUUCAUGCACGUUGCUAGCACUAGAAGUUGACCCAACCACCGUUUCUCCCAUUCUCCUAUUACUAACAAAUACCUCUCCAUGUGCAUACCAACACUCGUAAUCCUCCACAAACCCUUUGUGUAGAAGAUGCAUCAUUACAACAUCUGGAUGCAGAUACUUUUUAUUUUGACACUUCCUGCAUGGACACCUAAUACCGCCUCCAGUAAAAUUUCUGGGAAUAGAUGUUGCGAAAUUAAUAAAACCCUGAACCCCGUUACAAUAAUCCAUCCUCCGCAAUCCUUGGGGUGAAUCUAGAUACAUCCAUGAACGAUCAUCCAUGACUUCUAUCGAACCUCUAUAAAAAGGACCCAUUAAUUAAGCAAGCUCUUAAUUAUUUCAAAACACAACAUGUAAUUCGGUAAUUCUACAAAUUAAAUUUUAACAAUUUUCAAACAAAUACAAUCUUACAAAAUCUAAAACAAACCAUAACAAGUAUAAAAUUAUACAUUCAUAUACUACAAGUUUGUUUGAGAAAUAACAAUAAAACAUGUACAUCUACUAAAAAAAAUAAUACAUAUACUAAAAAAACAAUAAAAUUAACAUUUAAAUGUUAAAAUUUUAAAAGAUAGAAUUACUUACAAAAAAUGAUAAAAUCCGUCGGUAAAUCAGAACACGGAUGCUGUGACCACAAAACAAAUACAACUUGUUGUGCUGAGAUGAGAAAAUUCUUGUUUUGGGGUGAGGGGGGCUGGUUAUUUUGCAGAUGGGGAGGGUUAGGAUUAGGAAGAAGAGGAGAAAUGGGGGAGAGAGUGUCGGCAGAGGAGCCAUAUAUUAACUUUUGCCGACGGACUUACCGACGGACAUUAAUACCGUCGGUGAAUCCGUCGGCAAAACCGUCGGUAAUUCUGACGGGCAAUCGACACGUCACCGCACGGACCUGCUGUUCAAAUCCAUCGGUGAUUCCGUCGGUAUUUUUAACGGUGCACCCGUCACGUCACUGGUACGGAUCUGGCAUUUCAAAUCCGUCGGUGAUUCCGUCGGUAUGUUUUGACGGUGAAUAGGUCCCAUCACGCGUACGGGCCCCAGUUUUUAAUUCCGUCGGUGAUUCCGUCGGAAAAAUCACCCGCCAAAACCUCCGCGCUCCUGCCCGCCCUUUUUUCAUUAAUUCUGAAUUUUCGGUCGGUAAUUCGGUCGAUAAUUACCGACGGAAAGAGUCCGUCGGUAAUUACCGACCGAAUUACCGACGAAUAAUUUCCGUCGGUGAUUUCGGCCGAAAAAUACCGACAGCAAAAAUUCCGUCGGUAUGUCCGUUGGUAUUUAGCGAUUUUCUGGUAGUGGUAGUGCACUGAAGAAGGAAUUAAAGAAUAAGAAGAAAGAAGAACAGAGACGCCAAAAAGAGACGUCCUUUGCUCAGUAAUAAGGAAUGAAGUGUCAUGUGUCGAUGGUGGCUGCGGAGAAAGUGCAGUGUCUUGUUGAUUUUGGUGGCUUCCUUUUAUCUUUUUGAAUUUCAGUUGCUCCCUUUUGUCUUGUAAUUUCAGUUGCUUCCUUUAGCUAUGUGCCCUGAAAAUUACCAUGAAGAUUAUAUGUUUUUUGCAAGAAAUAUUAUGCUCAAAUAUGCUUCUCCCUUUUUGCUUGAUUGUCUUUUGUGUCUCAUAUGCAUGAUCGUGGUUGUUGUUUUUUUUGUCAACUCGAGUCAACCCAUCUGACCCGUGACCCGAUCACUUGACCGGGUCGAUGAC
rnacentral:lncRNA from 1 species